GUCCACGCCGUAAACGAUGAGUGCUAAGUGUUGGAGGGCUUCCACCCUUCAGUGCUGCAGUUAACGCAUUAAGCACUCCGCCUGGGGAGUACGGCCGCAAGGCUGAAACUCAAAAGGAAUUGACGGGGGACCCGCACAAGCGGUGGAGCAAUGUGGUUUAAAUUCGAAGCAACGCGAAGAACCUUACCAGGUCUUGACAUCCCUUGACACUCCUAGAGAUAGGACGUUCCUUCGGGGACAAGGUGACAGGUGGUGCAUGGUUGUCGU
rnacentral:rRNA from 1 species